UAUUGAUUGCGUGUGACCGCAAAAGAAAAACAUUCUACACUGUAUCGAGUUUUAUGUGAAAACGCAAGCCCUCCUGCAAAGGGGGGCCCACGCGGUGGUGCACAAAGGGGGUGAGAUGGAUGUGUGAGAAUGCUUUGAGCGUGCACAACCUUUGAAGGUCAGCGACAGCCCUUGCACCUCGGUUGUACGAUAAUGAUCCUUCCGCAGGUUCACCUACGGAAA
rnacentral:misc_RNA from 1 species